rnacentral:rRNA from 1 species
UACGUAGGGGGCAAGCGUUGUUCGGAUUUACUGGGCGUAAAGCGCACGUAGGCGGAUCGAUCAGUCAGGGGUGAAAUCCCAGGGCUCAACUCUGGAACUGCCUUUGAUACUGUCGAUCUGGAGUAUGGAAGAGGUGAGUGGAAUUCCGAGUGUAGAGGUGAAAUUCGUAGAUAUUCGGAGGAACACCAGUGGCGAAGGCGGCUCACUGGUCCAUUACUGACGCUGAGGUGCGAAAGCGUGGGGAGCAAACAGG